rnacentral:rRNA from 1 species
GAUGAACGCUAGCUACAGGCUUAACACAUGCAAGUCGAGGGGCAGCAUGAACUUAGCUUGCUAAGUUUGAUGGCGACCGGCGCACGGGUGAGUAACACGUAUCCAACCUUCCGUUUACUCAGGGAUAGCCUUUCGAAAGAAAGAUUAAUACCUGAUAGUAUGGUGAGAUUGCAUGAUAACACCAUUAAAGAUUUAUUGGUAAACGAUGGGGAUGCGUUCCAUUAGGUAGUAGGCGGGGUAACGGCCCACCUAGCCUGCGAUGGAUAGGGGUUCUGAGAGGAAGGUCCCCCACAUUGGAACUGAGACACGGUCCAAACUCCUACGGGAGGCAGCAGUGAGGAAUAUUGGUCAAUGGACGAGAGUCUGAACCAGCCAAGUAGCGUGCAGGAUGACGGCCCUAUGGGUUGUAAACUGCUUUUAUAAGGGAAUAAAGUGGGAGUCGUGACUCUUUUUGCAUGUACCUUAUGAAUAAGGACCGGCUAA